rnacentral:misc_RNA from 1 species
UUUCUUUUUUCUUUUUUCUUUUUUAUUUGUGUGUGUGUGUGCAGAAUGAAAAUAUAGAAUACUGGAAUCACAUAGACCCAAAUCUUCUUAUGGUUUUCUUUUCCUGAAAUUCCCAACAAAUGUCAUAUGCCAAACAAUAAUUUUCAACUGAUUUUUCAUAUUACAACCAAAUAACAAUAAAUAAUUUAUUUUCUAAAACAUAUGCUUUCAACAAAAAGCAUUUUCACAUACAAGUCAUUUACCUUGAAAGAAACAAAGCCUUAAUCAAAUGGGAUAUCAUCAUACAAAGCUAAAUAGAAGGCACAUACAUCAAAGUUACCUCCUCAUAUAUCCACCAAAAGUGCUGCUUUUGAAUAGUUCCAUUAAUAAGCUGACAUUUAAUGAGAGAUAUAUACUUCAAAUGGCACCCAUUUUCAAAUCAUAGGAUACAUACAGUUGAAGAAAUUGAAAAUAUUGAAGCCUCUUGGGCAUUGUAAUCAUAGGAUACAUACAGUUGAAGAAAUUGAAAAUAUUGAAGCCUCUUGGGCAUUGUGAAUGAUAAAAAAUAUUUUAAUGCAGAUUCUGUUCUUUAUUUUUGGGGCUUAGCCCCCUUUUGUGACAAAAAAAAUGUGAUAAUGCAAACCCAAGGAAAGAUCAAAGAGGACAAGUAAGAAAUAGACUUUCAAGAAUUAAGACUAAUUCACUAACCAUCAGGACUUCCU